rnacentral:rRNA from 1 species
GACGAACGCUGGCGGCGUGCUUAACACAUGCAAGUCGAACGGAAAGGCCCUGCUUUUGUGGGGUGCUCGAUUGCCGAACGGGUGAGUAACACGUGAGUAUCCUGCUCUUGACUUUCGGAGAACUUCAGGAAACUGGGGCUACUACCGGAUCGGAGCUCCUGCUGCAUGGUGGGGGUUGGAAAGUUUCGGCUGUUGGGGAUGGACUCGCGGCUUAUCAGCUCGUUGGUGGGGUAGUGGCUUACCAAGGCUUUGACGGGUAGCCGGCCUGAGAGGGUGACCGGGCACAUUGGGACUGAGGUACGGCCCAGACUGCUACGGGAGGCAGCAGGCGGGAAUAUGGCACAAUGGGACGAAGCCGGAGGCAGCAACGCCGCGUGCGGGAUGACGGCCUUCGGGUUAUAAACCGCUGUCGCCUGUGACGAAGCGUUAGUGACGGUAAUGGAUAAAGAAGCACCGGCUAACUACGUG